rnacentral:rRNA from 1 species
GUAGGGUGCAAGCGUUAAUCGGAAUUACUGGGCGUAAAGCGUGCGCAGGCGGUUGUGCAAGACAGGUGUGAAAUCCCCGGGCUUAACCUGGGAACUGCACUUGUGACUGCACAGCUGGAGUACGGCAGAGGGGGAUGGAAUUCCGCGUGUAGCAGUGAAAUGCGUAGAUAUGCGGAGGAACACCGAUGGCGAAGGCAGUCCCCUGGGCCUGUACUGACGCUCAUGCACGAAAGCGUGGGGAGCAAACAGGAUUAGAUACCCUGGUAGUCCACGCCCUAAACGAUGUCAACUGGUUGUUGGGAAGGUUCCUUCUCAGUAACGAAGCUAACGCGUGAAGUUGACCGCCUGGGGAGUACGGCCGCAAGGUUG